CCUGACUUGAUUGAGUGGUUGAGUUAUUCAAGGACAUACAUUUCAGGAAACCAGUCUGGAUAUCUGAGGUACCAGUCGACCAGAACAGAUUUAAUCACCAAAAACAACCAGUAAUCACUGACAAGACGCCUUUAAUGAUCAAACGGUGCAGUGGCCUUGACGAACUAGCCUGGAUCCGAUAGCCACACUGACCACUUGUGUAUUGUUAGGCUGGUUUCAACAUUAAAUGGCAGAGAUAAUUGGAUUUUAUAGAAAAAAUGGCUUUUCUGAGUCUGAGAUUGGAGUUGGACUUGAGACUGUUUGUAAUCGUGGGC